UACGUAGGGGGCAAGCGUUAUCCGGAUUUACUGGGUGUAAAGGGAGCGUAGGCGGUGAUGCAAGUCAGAAGUGAAAGCCCGCAGCUCAACUGCGGGACUGCUUUUGAAACUGUAUGACUAGAUUGCAGGAGAGGUAAGUGGAAUUCCUAGUGUAGCGGUGAAAUGCGUAGAUAUUAGGAGGAACACCAGUGGCGAAGGCGGCUUACUGGACUGUAAAUGACGCUGAGGCUCGAAAGCGCGGGGAGCAAACAGG
rnacentral:rRNA from 1 species